AAGUCGUAACAAGGUUUCCGUAGGUGAACCUGCGGAAGGAUCAUUAACACGUAUCCAACGUUAAACCCCCCUGUGAAUUUUAUCGCAGCUCUUGCAGAUGCCGGUAAGUUUGCAAUCCCUGGUAAAUCAUUGUUGAACAGAUUUUGAUUCAGGGACCUCUAACACCGACAGCUGCAAUUCGAGCGCUUGUGCAAGUGGCCUGGUUUCCCCAAGCUGCCAGUGUCUGAAAGUGUACGCUUUACGAUCACUGGAGGCCGACACGGCCGGUGACCGGGCUGCUGUGGCUAUAUGCCCCCUAUAUUUACCCCACUACCUGAACUUGGGUCGCAGGAAACUGCUUCCCCUUAAAUCUGAACAACUGUUAACAAUGGAUAUCUUGGUUCUC
rnacentral:misc_RNA from 1 species